ACGGCCCAGACUCCUACGGGAGGCAGCAGUAGGGAAUUUUCCGCAAUGGGCGAAAGCCUGACGGAGCAACGCCGCGUGAGAGAAGACAGUUUUCGGAUCGUAAAUCUCUGUUUUUGGGGAAGAAGUAAGUGACGGUACCCAAAGAGGAAGCCCCGGCCAACUAUGCGCCAGCAGCCGCGGUAAUACGUAGGGGGCAAGCGUUAUCCGGAAUUAUUGGGCGUAAAGAGCGCGUAUGCGGUAGAUUAAGUUGGUUGUAAAAGGCAAUGGCUUAACCAUUGUAAGCGACCGAAACUGGUUUACUUGGGUUCAGAAGAGGAGAGUGGACUUCCCGGUGUAGCGGUGGAAUGCGUAGAGAUCGGGAGGAACACCAGUGGCGAAGGCGGCUCUCUGGUCUGUAACUGACGCUGAGGCGCGAAAGCUUGGGGAGCGAACAGGAUUAGAUACAACGAUGAGUGCUGGGUGUUGGGGGUUUAGGCGGAGGUAACCCAAUAAGCACUCCGCCUGGGGAGUACGACCGCAAGGUUGAAACUCAAAGGAAUUGACUGGGGCCCGCACAAGCGGUGGAGCAUGCGCGAAAAACCUUACCAGGUCUUGACCUCCCGCUGACCCUCUAGAGAUAGAGGUUUCCUUCGGGACAGUGGUGACUGGUGCAUGGUUGUCGUCAGCUCGUGUCGUGCCCGCAACGAGCGCAACCCUUAUUUUUAGUUGCCAGCACUUUGGGUGGGCACUCUAAAAAGAGAGCCGGCGAAAGCCGGAGGAAGGUGGGGAUGACCUCAAAUCAUCAUGCCCCUUAUGAUCUGGGCUACACACGUGCUACAAUGGCUGCGACAAAGGGAAGCUAGCCCGCGAGGGGAGGCCAAUCCCAAAAAAACAGUCACAGUUCGGAUCGUAGGUUGCAACUCGCCUACGCGAAGUUGGAAUCGCUAGUAAUCGCAGAUCAGCAUGCUGCGGUGAAUACGUUCC
rnacentral:rRNA from 1 species